CCUACGGGCGGCAGCAGUGAGGAAUAUUGGUCAAUGGCCGGAAGGCUGAACCAGCCAUGCCGCGUGAAGGUCAGUGCCCUAUGGGCGUUAAACUUCUUUUGUGCGGGAGCAAUAAUGGUCACGUGUGGCCAGACGAGAGUACCGUACGAAUAAGCAUCGGCUAACUCCGUGCCAGCAGCCGCGGUAAUACGGGGGAUGCAAGCGUUAUCCGGAUUUAUUGGGUUUAAAGGGGGCGUAGGCUGUGAGGUAAGUCAGCGGUGAAAUGCCCCCGCUCAAAGGGGUGAAGUGCCAUUGAUACUGCCAUGCUGGAAUGCGGAUGCCGUGGGAGGAAGGUUUGGUGUAGCGGUGAAAUGCAUAGAUAUCACACAGAACACCGAUUGCGAAGGCAUCUCACGAAUCCGCGAUUGACGCUGAUGCACGAAAGCGUGGGUAUCAAACAGGAUUAGAUACCCGAGUAGUC
rnacentral:rRNA from 1 species